GUAGGGUGCAAGCGUUAAUCGGGAAUUACUGGGGCGUAAAGCGUGCGCAGGCGGUUUUGUAAGUCUGUCGUGAAAGCCCCCGGGGCUUAACCUGGGGAAUUGCGAUGGAGACUGCAAGGCUUGAAUCUGGCAGAGGGGGUAGAAUUCCACGUGUAGCAGUGAAAUGCGUAGAGAUGUGGAGGAACACCGAUGGCGAAGGCAGCCCCCUGGGUCAAGAUUGACGCUCAUGCACGAAAGCGUGGGGAGCAAACAGGAUUAGAUACCCUGGUAGUCCACGCCCUAAACGAUGUCUACUAGUCGUCGGGUCUUAAUUGACUUGGUAACGCAGCUAACGCGUGAAGUAGAUCGCCUGGGGAGUACGGUCGCAAAGAUUAA
rnacentral:rRNA from 1 species